rnacentral:tRNA from 1 species
GCUCAGUGGUAGAGCGUCUGCCUUACAAGCAGGGGGUCACUGGUUCAAGUCCAGUACUGCCCA